AUAUCCGUUUUUUCUUCUAAUUAAAACAUUACAAAAGAUCACAUUAUACUACAGCUACCUGGAUUCUCAUCGCUGAACAUAUGAGUAUAUGAAUCCGAAUGUGGAGGCGGCAUUGGCGGUGGAUGAGCAUAGUUCACCGACGGAUAAGGUCGAGCAUACAUCAUUGGGUGGUACAUGUCUCCACCGUGACCACCACCAUAUCCUCCAUGAGCUGCAGCUGCAGCUUGUUGUUGUUGCUGAUGCAUCAUCAUUUGCAUAUAUUGUUGUUGGUUCAUUUGAUGACUUGCCUGAGCUGGUUGUGGAUAAUAUCCUCCACCUCCACCUCCACUCAUCGGCAAGCCUUGAACCGCCGGGUAAGAGCCACCUUGAUGUCCCAUAGGACCCAUCUGACCACCUUGGUGUCCCAUCAUACCCAUCUGACCACCUUGACCCAUCAUGCCCAUAGGACCUCCUUGACCCAUCAUACCCAUCGGACCGCCUUGACCCAUUGGGCCACCCAUCCCCUUAGCACUAUGAUUACCCUUGUUACCUCCUCCUCCGCCUGCUUUGUGGUGUUUCAUGAGCUCAUCAAUAUCAUGGGCCCCAUGGCCUCCUCCUUUUGACCCACCACCUCCACCUUUUUUAGGCCCACUGUCAUAAUGAUGAACUCCUCCUCCCCCACCACCGGAGGAUUUGACCUUAUCACCUCCACCGCCUCCUUCUUUCUUACCACCUCCCUUCUUCUCAUCUCCUUUACCACUUUUACCAUUUUUGAAAAACCCUAGCAGGCCACCACCACCACUUUUGGCAUCUGUUUUUCCAUUUUUGCCCCCACCUCCUUUGUUCUUUUUUCCUUCUUUAUCACCUUUAUCUCCUCCUCCUUUCUUGCCUUCUUUCCUCAUUUUACCCUCACCCAUUCCCUUCAUUUGCACCGGAAUCUCAAACCCGCCACCACCUUUCUUCCCCUCUCCUCCGCCACCACCACCACCGCCGGCUUUGAAACCAUUCAUCAUCAUCAUCAUCUCAUUAGGUCCCUUAGCUCCACCACCACCACCACCCAUUUGAGGCAUCAUCUUGUUAGGCAUCAUCAUCAUCUUGUUAGGAGGCAUGUGAUGAUUACCACCUCCUCCCCCACCAUGACCAUGUCCUCCUCCCAUAUCAUCAUCCUCAUCCUCAUCAUCGAACUCAUCAUCAUCAUAAUCAUCCUCACUGAACUCAUCAUCGUAAUCCCUUUUUUUUUUUUUUCUCUUUACGAUUUAGUUCUUUUGUGAUUAUCGAUCACCGGAGUGCGGAGGAAGAAGACGACGACGAGCGUUUUUAUUUUAUUUAUUUCAUAUAAAUUUCCAUUUAAUUCUCUAAAUACUGUAAUGUGAUUGGCCGAGACACGUAUGAUCUACUUCGCAAACCGAAAUUUCGGUCUAUGAAUACCUUUUUAUUCCGGUUCAAACUCGGUCUAAGAAUAUUCAUUCAAUGAAUUUUGACUAUUAUGAGUCUUAUCACACUCAAAAUUCUACAUUUGGCAUAAUAAUUACUAGUAAUAAACAUCGGAUUAUUAUGGUUGACUGUAGAUCAGUUGACUGAUUAAACCGGGAUUUAGUUUACUAGGCCCAAUGGGUAAGCAAAAUAUUGAUGGUUCAUUUAAAAGCCCGUCAUUGUGAGUCACUCGCACAAGUUGUUUAAGAUAAGAGGACCGAACGUUUUCUGCCGCCAAACUAUUGAUGUGGUUUCUCAGUUCACACACUAGUUUCACUUUUGGAGAACACUAUUUGAUAGAAACACCAGAGACCUAAUUCUGAAAUAUUUUGUCCACACUUUCUUAUUGAAAAAACAUCAUAAUCAACUCAUAAAUCUCUCACGGAUUUGGUGCUCAAUGGGUCAAAAUUAAUAUGUGGUGUGUACAUAAAGUUAGUGGCACACUAUAGGAGUUAGUGCUCUUGUGCCCUACUAUAGAGGGCGGCUGCACAAUCCUUUUCACACAGAAAAAUAAAGAUCUUAGUUUGUAACCAUCUUCAAGAUAUUAUAAACAUCAUUCCACUUAACAAAAUUAAAGCACAUUUUGUUUUCAAUCCCCUCAAAAGAGUUUUAAAAGAGAAAGUCAUCCCAAAAAAAUACAUAAUAAAGAGUUCUAAGACAAACAUAUUCAUAUCCGUUUUUUCUUCUAAUUAAAACAUUACAAAAGAUCACAUUAUACUACAGCUACCUGGAUUCUCAUCGCUGAACAUAUGAGUAUAUGAAUCCGAAUGUGGAGGCGGCAUUGGCGGUGGAUGAGCAUAGUUCACCGACGGAUAAGGUCGAGCAUACAUCAUUGGGUGGUACAUGUCUCCACCGUGACCACCACCAUAUCCUCCAUGAGCUGCAGCUGCAGCUUGUUGUUGUUGCUGAUGCAUCAUCAUUUGCAUAUAUUGUUGUUGGUUCAUUUGAUGACUUGCCUGAGCUGGUUGUGGAUAAUAUCCUCCACCUCCACCUCCACUCAUCGGCAAGCCUUGAACCGCCGGGUAAGAGCCACCUUGAUG
rnacentral:lncRNA from 1 species